rnacentral:rRNA from 1 species
UACGGAGGGUGCGAGCGUUGUCCGGAAUCACUGGGCGUAAAGGGCGCGUAGGCGGCGAACCAAGUCAGAUGUGAAAGUCCUGGGCUUAACCUGGGGACUGCAUUUGAUACUGGUUUGCUUGAAUUCGGGAGAGGAUAGCGGAAUUCCCAGUGUAGAGGUGAAAUUCGUAGAUAUUGGGAAGAACACCGGUGGCGAAGGCGGCUAUCUGGACCGACAUUGACGCUGAGGCGCGAAAGCGUGGGGAGCAAACAGG